AAUCUACUCCCUCCGUUCGGAAUUACUUGUCUCGGAAAUGGAUGUAUCUAGAACUAAAAUACAUCUAGAUACAUCCAUUUCCGCGACAAGUAAUUCCGAACGGAAGGAGUAACUA
rnacentral:pre_miRNA from 1 species